rnacentral:rRNA from 1 species
AUCGAACGCUGGCGGCAUGCCUAACACAUGCAAGUCGAGCGAGCGGCGGACGGGUGAGUAAUGUAUGGGGACUGCCCGAUAGAGGGGGAUAACUACUGGAAACGGUGGCUAAUACCGCAUACUAUCGGAUAACCCAUAUGGGAUUAGCUAGUGGGUGGGGUAAAGGCUCACCUAGGCGAGGACCUCUAGCUGGUCUGAGAGGAUGAUCAGCCACACUGGGACUGGGACACGGCCCAGACUCCUACGGAGGCAGCAGUGGGGAAUAUUGCACAAUGGGCGAAAGCCUGAUGCAGCCAUGCCGCGUGGAUAGAGAAGGCCUUAGGGUUGUAAAGUACUUUCAGCGGGAAGGCGUUACCGGCAGAGGAAGCACCGGCUAACUCCGUGCCAGCAGCCGCGGUAAUUC